CGUUGGUCCUCCCGCAACGCUAAACCGCAAACCCCGCCAGGCCCGGAAGGGAGCAACGGUAGCGGUGGUCGCGUGUGCCGGGAUGUGGCUCUCGGGG
rfam:Halomonas sp. BC04 BC04_c810, whole genome shotgun sequence.